UAUAAUAUGUCCCUUCCAUGGAUAUAUGGAAGAAUGUUGUAAUAAUAACUGUACUUUGUCCUUAAUGCAUUUUUUCAAUUCCAGGCACUUUGCAAAUAAAUGCAUUAUUUAUUGUAUUUUAACCACUGCUGCCUCCCCCAUGAAAAGAAUUAUUGAAGUUAAUUGCUACCUAGGAUUAAAGUAAUGAAAUGAAGACGAAGCCCUUGCAAGCAUUCGUGAUCAACCAACAUAAAAUUUGCCUCAAACUUGAGAUAUUACUCCUGCAACAAGAGCCAUAAAGAAUGGCCGCACCAUUAUGCCUCUGUUCUCAGAAGGAGUGGACCAGACAGUGUGGGUGUAGAAGGAAAAUUCCAUAAGCACCUUUGGAUCAACUGCUCAAAGUUGUUGCACUACUUACUACUUGCAAGGGGUUAGUGGAGUCUUCUGCAUGAACAAGGAUAGUUGGCAUGAGUGAGAAUACAUCUCCAAGAGAGCAAGGAUCUCAGUCUGCACCAUUCACUGAUGUACACAGCAAAGAUCCAACCCGGGUGUCUAUGGCACAGCUGGUGUUCAACGACUAGCUGCUGAAUAAAUGAAUGAAUUUCUGCAUCUCAUAAUCCCUCUCUGCCAAAUUAUGGUCUUAAUUGAUAAAAUGAAUAUAACCUCUCUUUAUUGAAAGCUUACUACAUGCCACGCCCUGCCCUGGGCACUUUAUACCUCUUUUAAUGUCUCAAUGGCCUCCUGUGGACAAUGUUUUUGUCCUACUUUGCAAAUCAGAGGAAACCGAGACUUGGGCUAAGUGAACUGCCUAAACUCACACAACUGCCAAGAUGCAGAGCAAGGAUGAAUUCUAGUCUGCAGAACUGCCAAGCUGGCUCUCAAACACCAGCUUGCAUGCCCACUAUGUAGGAGGGCUCUGUGGACAACACCAGGCAAGAACAGAUUUUCCUGCACUCCAAGUCAGGGCUAGUAACCUCCCGGUGUCCAGUCAUCCCAUUGACCUUUACCAGCUCUCCUUCCUUCGUUGCACAUGGCAUGCUCACAGGAAGAAAAAUGGGGCUCCCCUCCUAGGUCCACCCGUGUCCCCACUUCCACCGCCUGGCACGGGCCUUGUCACAGCGUCCUGCUGGUUCACAUGGUGUUGAUUUGUCAGACACACUCCCUUCUUGAAGUCCAGAUGAAAUCAUGGCCUUCUUAGAAGCAUGGUUUAGGGGGGAAAGCUCGAGCUUUGGAAUCACAUGGUCCUGGAUUCAAAUGCUAUUUGUGUAUUUGUUACCUGUGGGACAUUUAAAUGCUAUUUGAUCCUUCUGGGCUUGGUUUUUUCCACUGGUUAAACGGAAAUACUGAUGCCUUGAGAAGUUAAAAACGAUUCUUACGCUAACCAUGCCCCUUCUCUUUCACAAGGAGACGCAAGGGACAAGCCAGCAUUCUUUUUCCCUGUCAGGAGGUGGAAGUAUAAAGAAAUGGCACUUAAGAUUUCCACAGCAAUUUGCCUCAUCUUGUUUGGGCCCUGCUUUGUGGGGGAUGGGACUCAGGAUGAGGAGAAAGGAAUUGGAGUCUUCUCUCUUCAAGCUCCUUCUGCCCUGAGGUGUGAACUUCCGGUGUGAGUGGUGCAGACAGUAGUGAGGGGAGAAGAGGGAAGGAAAACUUGGGGAGACUCACCCAGAUUGGGAGUUGCCACAAAACAACCAGAAGGGGGUUCUCUUUUUC